AUGAACGCUAGCUACAGGCUUAACACAUGCAAGUCGAGGGGCAUCAGGGAUCUAGUAAUAGGUUUGCUGGCGACCGGCGCACGGGUGAGUAACACGUAUCCAACCUGGCCAUUACUCCGGGAUAGCCUUUCGAAAGAAAGAUUAAUACCGGAUGGUAUUGAUAGAUCUCCUGUUCUGUCAAUUAAAGAAUUUCGGUAAUGGAUGGGGAUGCGUUCCAUUAGAUAGUAGGCGGGGUAACGGCCCACCUAGUCAGCGAUGGAUAGGGGUUCUGAGAGGAAGGUCCCCCACAUUGGAACUGAGACACGGUCCAAACUCCUACGGGAGGCAGCAGUGAGGAAUAUUGGUCAAUGGGCGAGAGCCUGAACCAGCCAAGUAGCGUGAGGGAUGACUGCCCUAUGGGUUGUAAACCUCUUUUAUAAGGGAAUAAAGUGGUCUACGUGUAGAUUUUUGUAUGUACCUUAUGAAUAAGCAUCGGCUAACUCCGUGCCAGCAGCCGCGGUAAUACGGAGGAUGCGAGCGUUAUCCGGAUUUAUUGGGUUUAAAGGGUGCGUAGGCUGUAUUGUAAGUCAGUGGUGAAAGUUUGGGGCUCAACCUUAAAAUUGCCAUUGAAACUGCAGUACUUGAGUGUAAAUAAAGUGGGCGGAAUUCGUGGUGUAGCGGUGAAAUGCUUAGAUAUCACGAAGAACUCCGAUUGCGAAGGCAGCUCACUGGGUUACAACUGACGCUGAUGCACGAAAGCGUGGGUAUCAAACAGGAUUAGAUACCCUGGUAGUCCACGCAGUAAACGAUGAAUACUCGCUGUUUGCGAUAUACAGUAAGCGGCCAAGCGAAAGCAUUAAGUAUUCCACCUGGGGAGUACGCCGGCAACGGUGAAACUCAAAGGAAUUGACGGGGGCCCGCACAAGCGGAGGAACAUGUGGUUUAAUUCGAUGAUACGCGAGGAACCUUACCCGGGCUUGAAUUGCAUCUGACGAAUCAUGAAAGUGAUUUUUCUUCGGACAGAUGUGAAGGUGCUGCAUGGUUGUCGUCAGCUCGUGCCGUGAGGUGUCGGCUUAAGUGCCAUAACGAGCGCAACCCUAAUUGAUAGUUACUAACAGGUCAUGCUGAGGACUCUAUUAAGACUGCCGUCGUAAGAUGUGAGGAAGGUUGGGAUGACGUCAAAUCAGCACGGCCCUUACGUCCGGGGCUACACACGUGUUACAAUGGGGAGUACAGCAGGCAGCUAUGGGGCGACCCUUCGCUAAUCCCAAAAUCUCCUCUCAGUUCGGAUCGAAGUCUGCAACCCGACUUCGUGAAGCUGGAUUCGCUAGUAAUCGCGCAUCAGCCACGGCGCGGUGAAUACGUUCCCGGGCCUUGUACACACCGCCCGUCAAGCCAUGGAAGCCGGGGGUACCUGAAGCAUGUAACCGCUAAGGAGCGUGUUAGGGUAAAACCGGUAACUGGGGCU
rnacentral:rRNA from 1 species